rnacentral:rRNA from 1 species
GACGAACCGUGCAAACGUUGUUCGGAAUCACUGGGCUUAAAGGGCGCGUAGGCGGACCAGCAAGUCGGGGGUGAAAUCUUUCAGCUCAACUGGAAAAGGGCUUCCGAUACUGUUGGUCUCGAGGGAGGUAGGGGUCGAGGGAACUGGUGGUGGAGCGGUGAAAUGCGUAGAUAUCACUAGGAACGCCGGUGGCGAAAGCGCUCGACUGGACCCCUUCUGACGCUGAGGCGCGAAAGCCAGGGGAGCAAACGGG